rnacentral:tRNA from 1 species
GGAUGGGAUGCUACAUUAUUAAUGGGUCGGG